AGACGACGCUGGCGGCGCGCUUAAUACAUGCAAGUCGAACGAGAAGCCAGAGCUUGCUCUGGUGGAAAGUGGCGAACGGGUGAGUAACACGUGAGAAACCUGCCCCAAAGAUUGGGAUAAGCCUUGGAAACGAGGUCUAAUACCAAAUACCUUCCUUUUAACACAUGUUAAAAAGAGAAAUGCUCCGGCGCUUUGGGAUGGUCUCGCGAUCUAUCAGCUUGUUGGGUGAGGUAACGGCUCACCCAAGGCAUCGACGGAUAGCUGGUCUGAGAGGAUGUCCAGCCACAUUGGAACUGAGACACGGUCCAAACUCCUACGGGAGGCAGCAGUAGGGAAUCUUGCACAAUGAGGGAAACCUUGAUGCAGCGACGCCGCGUGCGGGACGAAGGCCCUAGGGUUGUAAACCGCUUUCAGUAGGGACGAAAGUGACGGUACCUACAGAAGAAGCCCCGGCCAACUAUGUG
rnacentral:rRNA from 1 species